UGAGUAACCUGCCCUUAACUCUGGGAUAAGCCUGGGAAACUGGGUCUAAUACCGGAUAUGACUCCUCAUCGCAUGGUGGGGGGUGGAAAGCUUUUUGUGGUUUUGGAUGGACUCGCGGCCUAUCAGCUUGUUGGUGAGGUAAUGGCUCACCAAGGCGACGACGGGUAGCCGGCCUGAGAGGGUGACCGGCCACACGUGGGACUGAGACACGGCCCAGACCUCCGUACGGGAGCAG
rnacentral:rRNA from 1 species